CUUAAUCCAACAUCGAGGUCGCAAACCCCCCUGCCGAUAAGAACUCUCAAGGGGGAUAACGCUGUUAUCCCUAAGGUAAUUUAAUCUUACAAUCAAAAUAAAUGGAUCAAACAAAUAUAAAUAAAUAUAACAACACAAAGGAGGGGUUAAAUUAUAUCCCUCCCAUCACCCCAACAAAACAUAUUAAAUGGCCCAGUGAACCCUCACAAACAGAAAGAGACCAUAAUAAAUGUCAAACUCUAUAGGGUCUUCUCGUCCCAUAAAAACAUCUAAGAAUUUUAACUCAAAGACCAAAUUCAAUAAGCAAUUUAAAAUUAAGACAGCCCAUGCCUCGUCAAGCCAUUCAUACCAGAUCACAAUUAAAGAACUAAUGACUAUGCUACCUUUGCACGGUCAAAAUACCGCGGCCCUUCAACACCAAAGUCAGCGGGCAGGCCAUACUUCAAAAACUAA
rnacentral:rRNA from 1 species